UACGAACUGUGCGAACGUUAUUCGGAAUCACUGGGCUUACAGGGUGCGUAGGCGGCUUUCUAAGUCGGGGGUGAAAUCCUGGAGCUCAACUCCAGAACUGCCUUCGAUACUGGAAAGCUCGAGUCCGGGAGAGGUGAGUGGAACUGCGAGUGUAGAGGUGAAAUUCGUAGAUAUUCGCAAGAACACCAGUGGCGAAGGCAGCUCGCUGGACCGUGACUACUGACGCUGAGGACGAGAAGCGU
rnacentral:rRNA from 1 species